UGCACUCUCAACCAAUGAUUCUCAGCCUCCCUAAUUCUGUAACACUAAUAUUUUUCUCAUGGCUUUGUGACUCUUAACCAUUACUUCAUUUUGCUUCUCUUCAUAAUUCAAAUUUUGCUCCUGAUGUGAUUAUAAAGAAAAAUGGAUGGAAUAUCUGAUAUGGAAAAUAUAUGUGACCCCGUAAUGAUUAUGACCCACAAGUUGAGACUCACUGGUCUAAACUGCUAAUUUUAAACAAAAAUGUUUUUCAAGUACUUUCUACAAUGUACACUGACCAUUACUAUUUUUGUUUUAUUUUCAAUAAAAAAAGGAUUUUAUUAUUACCAUCGAUGGAAGCUUACUAACCUUGGAUUUUUAUGAAAACUGGCUUAGCAUCCCAGAUGAAGAAACUCUGGCUGGAAAAAUUAAUGUCAUUCAAAGCCUUUUGCGACAGAUCCCAGAACCAAACUUUAUACUAUUAAAACAUCUCAUAUGUGUAUUAGUAAUAAUAAAAGAUUCUUCCAUGAAUAAUUUAGACAGUUACAGGUUGUCUCUGAGCAUAGCUCCACAUGUACUGUGGGGUCAGACUUCGAGAGAUUCAUCAUGUGGGAGUGACGUCUUACGAAAGAAGUCUCUUAUACAAAUCAUGAUUGACAACUAUGAUCAAAUAUUUGGAAAUGAUGAUAUAUUUAGUAAACACAUUGACAAAAGUUCUGAAGACUUAAAGACAUACAAAGAAUCAAUAAAUUAUUCUGGAAAAUCUCCUAUUAUGACAAAAGCCAUAGCUGGACACAACUGGAAAACCAAUGAUAUUGAUGAAAAAUUUAAUAUUUCAUAUGCUGCACUGCAGGAAGAAGGUCCUACAGAGAAACAGAAAGGCUAUAUAUAUUUAUAUACCAAGCCACCAGUAUAUUCUGAUCCAGCACCACCAAGAAAGAAAUGCUUAUUUGGCAAAAAUCUUACAAGCAUUUAUGUCGACAGAAAGCUGCCUGCUCUAAUACUUGAUAUGUUAUCCAUAAUUGCAGAGAAAGGACAAGAAUCAGAUCACAUAUUCAAAAUUCUACCUGAAAAUUCACACUGGUGCCUCAGAGAGAGGAUUGACAGUGAACAACUCAUUGAAUGGAAUGAAGAAUGCGCGCUUGUAAUAGCAUCUGUCUUGAAGGUAAGGAAGGUUUUCACGUCACCAACAUUAAGCAUCCCUCUAGAGAUGCAUAUGUGCUUUCUGUCCUUAAGAUUACAUGAUGAUGACUGUUUCCUAGAACUAUGGACACGUGACCUCUUGAUAAGAGGCAUGGCAGGUAAAAGUCUGACAAACCCAAAGAUUCAUCAUAAAGACACAGGU
rnacentral:lncRNA from 1 species